ACUGGACUCACACCAGAACACACACACACGUGUAUUUGGUUCUGGAGCGGGUGCAUUUUUUCCCUGUGAGACGUGUUGGACACGAGAGAAGAGAAGAAACAUGGACGAUCCACAUUCUCUCACACACGUCAGAGUCACUUCACUCACUCAAACUCCUGGAAGGGACAAGAAAACACAUCCUCCAACUGCCGGUGAUUGACAUGCUGUGUUGAUUUUCUCAUUACUCACACACACACACACACACACACACACACACUGGAAGCCAUUUAAAAAUAAUAGCAUAUUCCUGCGCUAACUUGCACUCAGGCACACGCGCCACGGAAAUGUCAAAGGUGGGACACGCGUGUGUACGUCGGAGUCCUC